UUUGGUACAGAUUUUGAGAAGAGGUGGAAUACCUGGAUGGUAGAAGUAGAAGAUAAACUAGAGGCUGUAAAGACCGGAUUGGUUGGCAAAUAAUUUGGACGAAUGCACAUACAUCGCACAUUACAUCUUACUACAGAAGCACAAUUAUAUAAAGUGUUUAAGAAGCAUGGCUUAAUUUAAGUAAGUUCAAUAGAAGAAAAACUUGAUCCUAAUCAACAUGAAGCACUUUCAACAAGUAAGAUCUAUUUUGUAAGUAAAACAUGCUGUCAUUAAUUAUCAAUAUGCACAACAGUUAUCGAUAUAAAAUAAUUUCAGGAGGUUGGAGGUAAAAAAAAGCUGAAACAAUUGUAGUUGUAUAAAAAAUAGAAAAGUGAUUGCACGAAAGGAUAAUAAGACCUGCAUUAGUAGGUGUUGGUAAAAGAUAAUUUUUUCCUUUUCACGAAAUUUCCCUGAACUUUGCGUUACAUCCAACGCCCCAUACCAGCAUCCUUCUGUAUUACCACUACAUCUGCUUCUCUUUCCCCAUGAUUUAUUCUUCUCCCCAGUGCUCCAUCCUAUCAAAUCUGUUGUUUAAAGCCUUUUGUUUAUAGCCUUUUGUUUAUCUUUUACUUGUACCAUCCAGGUAUUCCACCUGUUCUCAAAAUACUUUCUUUAUGCUGCUAUUUCCUCUUGUAAUUUCUUUAUUUCCUUGUUUUAUUUGCUCACCUAUCUCCCUUCUAAUCAGUUCCCCUACCUCCUUUUUCCAUUUCUCCACUAUAUCUGCCCACUAAUCUCCAUUUUCCUCAUGUACCGAUCUUUGUCCUUUUUGCCUGUCAUUACUUCCAUCUCUUAAAACACCAUCCUUUUUCCAUUUCCUUUCUCCUCUGUCUCUAUUCUCCUUUGUCCUUCUAUCUUCCCCUUCCCCACUCAAAACAUAAAUUGUCUUUUACAUUUCUUUAAAGUAGACACACUUUCAUUUUAUGAAAUAUAUAAGGGUUAGCAAAUUACACUUGCGUGCACUUUCAUUUCUUGUGUUAUCAUAAUAAGGAAAUAUUUGUCACAAAGUUAAUGUUCCAAAUGUAUAAAUGAGUAUAAUUUUUUUAAUAAAUCAUGGCAUAAAAGAAACAAAUGUAAUAUAUCUAUAUAACGUAGUUAUUGAAGUCUUCAUGGAAUUGUAGAUGAAGCUUCUUCCUUAGAAUAUAUACCAGCACCUGGUUCUCCAUAUAUAAUUUUAUGAAGAAAACAACAACAAAAGAUGAAAGUGACAGUUAAAAAGAGCUUGUGGAUGCUGUUAUGGCAGGUAUCUAUGCUCAAGUGAAACAAAAUAAAUAUGACUGAAUGGGAUAAGGAAGACAAAUCUAAGGGAUUUCGGGCAGAUGUUGACGUACAACACGACGAAAAUUAUUACAAAUUUAUAUAUAGAGGGAAAUUGUACUGCUGCUUUGCAACAAGAGAAAUUCGAUUAAGAAAUCGAAUACGAUGAAGAUGGUCAUCCUAUUGCACCACCAGAGAAGACUAAAAUUGAUCCAUUAACUCCGAUUGAUAAUAACGAAAUGGGUUACGAGUAAUUUGCGAAGAAUUUUUGCAAUGUGCAUGAAGAAAUUGGAAGUUUAAACAAACAACAGAUUGAUGAUCUGAGGAAAACUCUCGUAAUAAAGGUUUCGAGAAACAUUACAUAUGUUGUAUUCAAGUUGGAAUACAACUUGAUAAAGUUAUAUAAUAUAUAACGUUAAGUUAUAUAAAAAUUAUAACAUAAGUGUUCGAGAGCGAGAUUAAUUAUCUAGCAUUAGGCGAUCGAACGUUCUAGAACGUUCGCUCGCCCGCCAGCCUCGCGACGGGCUCGCGCUAGCCGCAGCGCGAGUCCACCUUUUUUUCUGCACUGAUUUUGCUGGCUGUCCGCGGUUGCCAUGCCGACCAUACGCGCAAACAAACAAACAUUCGCGCUUCUCUACUCGCAUGCUAGAUCGCCGCUGUUACCAUGCAGGCUUUAUUUGGAAAUGAUCUCGAAGAUUCGGCAACCGCGACCAACCAGCGAGCGACUUGUCGCCAAGUGCUUUUUCUUUAAAAGCUGCCCUCGCCGACGAUGAGGGCAGUCCGUGCUUCGCAUCUAUCACAAGAGGAGCACGUCUCGGACAGCUGGGAAACAGCUAAUCUCAAGCGCCGGCAAUAUCGGAGAGCUCGUCGCGUGUUCAAUCGGUCCGCCGACUAUUGUAUCUUUAGCGGGACUGCAAGCUCCGUUGCACUCGCGCUACCUUCGACGCGGAGGAGCCUCGCCGCGACUCCUCUCGAGCGCCGAGAGUCGAUCUCGCUCUCUCGGGCCAGCUCCGAUCUCUGGAAAGCAAGUCGGCGAAAUUCGUUAGCCGCUUGCCGCUCGCGCCGUUCGCGCGCUAUCGUUACUCAAUUAACUUUGUUUGUGCUCUGUCUUCUUGUGUGUUCAUAUUGUGCAACGACGUUGUGACUUCUACCCUUUCGAGAAUCGGCUCGUUCGACGGCUCGCGGACGCGCGCCAGGGUCGCGGAA